rnacentral:rRNA from 1 species
UCGAAAGCUUGCUUUUGAUGGGCGUCGACCGGCGCACGGGUGAGUAACGCGUAUCCAACCUGCCCAUCACUUGGGGAUAACCUUGCGAAAGUAAGACUAAUACCCAAUGAUAUCUCUAGAAGACAUCUGAAAGAGAUUAAAGAUUUAUCGGUGAUGGAUGGGGAUGCGUCUGAUUAGCUUGUUGGCGGGGUAACGGCCCACCAAGGCGACGAUCAGUAGGGGUUCUGAGAGGAAGGUCCCCCACAUUGGAACUGAGACACGGUCCAAACUCCCACGGGAGGCAGCAGUGAGGAAUAUUGGUCAAUGGACGAGAGUCUGAACCAGCCAAGUAGCGUGCAGGAUGACGGCCCUAUGGGUUGUAAACUGCUUUUAUAAGGGAAUAAAGUGAGAGUCGUGACUCUUUUUGCAUGUACCUUAUGAAUAAGGACCGGCUAAUUCCGUGCCAGCAGCCGCGGUAAUACGGAAGGUCCGGGCGUUAUCCGGAUUUAUUGGGUUUAAAGGGGGCGUAGGCCGGAGAUUAAGCGUGUUGUGAAAUGUAGACGCUCAACGUCUGCACUGCAGCGCGAACUGGUUUCCUUGAGUACGCACAAAGUGGGCGGAAUUCGUGGUGUAGCGGUGAAAUGCUUAGAUAUCACGAAGAACUCCGAUUGCGAAGGCAGCUCACUGGAGCGCA